GACGAACGCUGGCGGCGUGCUUAACACAUGCAAGUCGAACGCUGAAGCUUGGUGCUUGCACUGGGUGGAUGAGUGGCGAACGGGUGAGUAAUACGUGAGUAACCUGCCCUUGACUCUGGGAUAAGCCUGGGAAACUGGGUCUAAUACUGGAUACGACAUGUCACCGCAUGGUGGUGUGUGGAAAGGGUUUUACUGGUUUUGGAUGGGCUCACGGCCUAUCAGCUUGUUGGUGGGGUAAUGGCUCACCAAGGCGACGACUGGUAGCCGGCCUGAGAGGGUGACCGGCCACACUGGGACUGAGACACGGCCCAGACUCCUACGGGAGGCAGCAGUGGGGAAUAUUGCACAAUGGGCGGAAGCCUGAUGCAGCGACGCCGCGUGAGGGAUGACGGCCUUCGGGGUGUAAACCUCUUUCAGCACGGAAGAAGCGAAAGUGACGGUACGUGCAGAAGAAGCGCCGGCUAACUACGUG
rnacentral:rRNA from 1 species